UCCCAUUUACACACAAUACCCCAUAAUGAGAAAGUGAAAACAGUUUUUUUUUAUUUCAUUUAUUGAAAAUGAAAUACAGAAAUCUAGUAUUCACAACCCUGAGUCAAUACUUUGUAGAAGAAACUUUGGCGGCAAUUACGUCUUUGUGUAGUCUUGGGUAUGUCUGUAUCUGCUUUGCACAUCUGGAUUUUUCUCAAGCGCUGUUAAGUUAAAUGGGAGGUGGGGGUGAACAGCAAUCUUCAAUUCUUUCCACAGAUUUUCAAUGAGAUUCAAGUCUAGGCUUUGGCUGGGCCACUCAUGGACUUUCACAUUCUUGUUCUGAAGCCAUUCCAGCUUUGCUUUGGCUUUUUUCCAUUUCCCACUCUGCUCUUGGAAACUUUCAAGAGCACAGAAAAUAUAAAUAGUUUUAUACCCUUUCCCAGAAUGAUGCCUUAUCACAAUUCUAUCUCGGGAAUCUACAGACAGUUCCUUGGACUUCAUGGUUUAGCUUUUGCUUCGACAUGCGCUGUUACUGUGGGACCUUAUAUAGACAGGUGUGUUUCUUUCUAAUUCAUGUCCAAAUCAUUGGAUUGGCCACAGGUGUACUACAAUCAAAUUGUAGUGACAUCUCAAGGAUGAUCAAAGGAAAUUGGAUGCACCCCAGCUCCAUUUGGAGUGUCAUAGCAAAGGGGUGUGAAUACUUAUGUAAAUUAGCCAUUUCUGUAUUUAACUUUCAAUAAAUGUGAGAAAAAAAUAUAAAAACAUGUUUUCACUUUGUCAUUACGAGGUAUUGUGUGUAGAUGGGUGAGGAAAAAUUUGAUCAGUUUUGAAUUCAGGCUGUAACACAACAAAAUGUGCAAUAAGUCAAGGGGUAUGAAUACUAUACUCUCUUCUCUAAUCAGCCAUUCUAACAUCAGGGGAUGCCAUAGCGCUGGUGUAAUACCCUACCUUUGUGUGUGUGUCUGUGUCUUAUUCCCAGGAAUGUGUUUGCUGUGUGUAGGUCUCUGAGGCCACAGCGCAGAGCGGACCAUGUCAUCUCACGGCCGCCGACCGAUAUCGCUCACUCACCACUGACACUGAAGAGGUCAACCAAGAAGCUGAGAGCCAAAAGGCUGAAUGCCAAGCUCAAAGAGUAUGACCAGAGACUGACAGAGGUGCGUAAUGAGUACCUUCCAUCAAAUCCCAUCACCAGUACUACUACACUGCAGAGCUGACUGCCAUCAUGAGGAGACUGUACGGCGACCUGUAUGACUAAAUCCGAGAGAACUUCACUCUGCUGUGCUGCACAGAUAUCGACACCUGCCAGUCCACGCACAGUGGCUUUAGUGAGAUCUGCGAAAACUCCACCAAGGUGAGGUCAGGCGUGGGACCCACUGGAGCUCUUUUCACAGUAAAACCCUACAUGGACAGUAGUCCCUCUCUUAUGCCAAGAGCUUUUUACAUUCCUCACUUGGGCACUGCUGACGGUGGCCAGGCAGAAUGUUCUGUUCUGUGGCAGUCAGUCAGACAGAUUUGUUUGGUUGUUUUUCCUCCUGGAGUCCCCAGCCUUCACCAGAAACGGCCGGCUUUCACUUCCAGGUUGCCCCUAAAGACAAGGUGUGGCUCGCUUUGAUACCACUCUCCUUGGUUACCAUGUAAACACCAUUAUAUGGCAAUUAAUAUCCACAAGGCUGUUUUGAUCAAAGCGCGAUUGUGGUGAAAAUGUUUACAUUUUCAUGGAGUGAAUGGUCCUUUGUGUGUGAGAUAAUCCCAGCUUCACCUCUCCUGUUCUUCCUAAAGGUGUGCAUUCUGAAGCAAUAGAGCUCCAGGACUGACCUUCCAUGAUAUCAACAUUAUAGUGUUUAAAGGCUAUACAGUGUUUGUUUACAUUUACAUUGUUUACAAACAAGCACAUAUUUUGGGUUCUGAUGGGUACCCAAAUGGGUGGGAUCGUUGAACUAAGCCCAUGAGGCAUUUAUAAGUUCUAUUCUUCAGGAAUCAAUGGGUAUAUAUCAUUAAUUUAUAAGUCCAAAUCGAUGUAGCAACUAAUCUUUUAAGCAGGCUCUAUUAACAGACCAGAGUUCCUCUUUUAUUCACCCGUGUUAGCCUUCUGCAGAGGUGGACUAAGCUAUUUUAUGCUAAGUGAGUGGUGUGUGUGAUGAAGAAAGAAAUGAAGGCUGCAUCAUGUGUCCUAGGCCUAUAGACAAGCCUCUGCAGAUGCCGGAUGCUUUGUGCUACUAGAUCCAUUCGUAGAUCUCCUGCACUCUGCCUGGCCCAUUGAGGCAGGUGGCUGCCCCGUAUCUGUAUCUGAACGGAACGCGUGAGUCACUGUCUACUUCCCACAUCACACAAGGACAAAUGCAAAUGCAGCCGGCACCGUGAGUCAGUUGGCACUGUUCCUUCAAUCCACACACCUCACCCACCUCCUCCUGCUGCUUUACUCGGUUGUCUUUGUCUUCAAUAAAAAAAAAAUGGUGAUCAAGACUUUGCAGUGGCCUGGAAAACCAUGUUUCUUUCCUUUACUUUACGGGACAGACGUUGGGUUUAGGAAGAAUAAUGCAGACAAUAUGCUGCUGAUAUUAUCCUAGUAUGAUGCUAAUGCCCACCCCAGAUGUCCUUGUUGACGAUAACCCCUGUUUUGCUGUGUUAGAUUUCAUCAUUAUACAUCAUCCUUAAUUGGUGAAACGGCCACGUCCAUUUGGGAUAUUACAGCAACAAAGAAGUUACUGCAAACAACAAACACUGUCGUCGUCGUCGCCCCCCUCCCUCUCGGACAUCAUUGCACGUGUGAUUUUUUGUUGUUGUUUGUUACCACUCUGCCGGACCCUCCUCUCUUCUGAUUAAUCAACGAAACAAUAACAAAGGGCGCUGGGGGCGAACAGUGGUGCUGUUCCUCCAAAUGCGGAUUCCAUCUUUAAGGUGUUGAUGUAUCGUGUCUGAGGUGUGACAGUGUGCUAGGUGUGGCUGUAAAAAGUUUGACUGAGUAAAAUCAAUCUCGGACAAAGUGCCUGUGAGAGACGUGGUGACAGGUGGUAGAAAGGUGCAUGUGUGUGUGUCCAGGUUAGCCAGGAGUCCAGGCUGGCGAGCACCGCCAUGACCCAGGCAGAUGAGUAGCUAGAGAGGGACAGGAGGCUGAGCGAGGCAGAUAUGUCCAACGAAGACAUCUCAGAGAACGAGUCUGAGUUUACAGACUUUGAUGAAUAUGAUAAAGAUGGUGACACUUUCAUUGAUUCGACUUUGUGCUCGAUGCCGUGCGGAUACCCCUUGGCUUGCAGGGUUCUCCACAGCCAUCAGGUGAGAAUAUCAUAACUUACUGUUUUGGAAAUGAAAGCAUGCAAAGUCAAUAUUACAGGAAUGGGAUUUUAGUCUCAGGUUUUAUAGUGUGCAAUUGGCCCCGACCAUCUUCUUGUAGGCCUGCCAAGGAGAUGAGCUUAUCAAUCACAGAGGGGGAGGAGCUUCAGGUGAUAGAGGAUGGAGACAUGGAGGACUGGCUGAAGGUAAAGGACAGGUUUCUCUCUGGCUGCGCCACAGAUGGCAGCCUAUUCCCUAUAUAUUGUGCACUAUUUUUGACCAGAGGCCUAUGGGCGAAUAGCGUGCCAUAGAGGAAAUAGGGUGCCAUUUAGGACGCAUCUUAUGCCUACAUGAACAGUGCUAUUUACUCUAGCAGUCAGUUGGUCCCAUACAUUGACUACAGUACAAUUACCCUCUACCAAACUGCUGCAGUCUCCCCACUUUUUGUUUAUACUCAGCACAGAGUAAACACACUACUGCCCUUCCUGUGUGAGAGAGGUACGAGGUCGCAACCUCAUCCUUACUGACCCAUAACAGUUUUGAAAUCUAUUGAGAUGCCAUAAUUGAAUAAAUAAAGCCCUAAUUUUGAGCAUCACUGCAUGUGUGCUCUUUUUGCAGGCACAUAAUGCAGCAGGCCAGGUUGGCUGUCCCUGAGAGGUACCUGCAGUUCCUGUUGUCCCUAGCAGAAGGCUCCUCUGCCUACCUUAAGCUGGGCAUCCCUGGUCCCCAGCUGGACUGGUCCUUGAACAGCUCCGGUUCUUCAUCAGAACACUCCAAGAAGGUGCAGAGCCGCUUCCCCUCACUCUGGGGGUCUGGCGCGGGCACCGAAUGAGUGCCAGGGGGCAGAGGAGCUGACCUUCCUAAAAGUGGCAUCAUCAGACACCUGCGCUACCACCAGGAAGAGGUGGAUGACGGCUUCUGGGAGGAAGAGCUGGGCGGAUGUGCGGGGGGUCUUCCCUUCUCUGGUUGUGGAGCUGUUGGGAGACCCGAGGAAGAGGCGAGAGAUCUGGUUAACCCUCUGAAAGAGACGAUGUCGUCAAAUGUACCUUCAAUCAAAGCAUACAGGGGUUGAUGAGAAAGAAAGCUCUGAACAGUACGGAUGAGGUCUAAUGGUGUGGUGUGCCACCAUGUGGCAUAUUGUUGUAGUACUGUACAACACAUUCUAUAAGACUAGUCAGGUGAUAGAAGAUGAAUCUCUGCAGAUAGAAAAAUAUCUCUGCAUUCUCUACUCAAGGGGAUUAUCUGAUGUUGUUUUUAUGAUCUGAAGUCCCAUUGUUUCGACAUUCUAUUCAUUCAUUCACACCCCUACCCUUCCUCCGUUCUCUCCACCCACUCCUAUCUCUGGAAGACUCUGCGCUCUCUUCUGCUCCUCACCUGGCCCUGGGGCCUGGUCUGUAAACAGUACACCUCCUAGAGAUCUGGAGGACAGGUUGCAAGCUGCUGUCCCACUGGAAAUACAGAGGCUGUCAGACAGCAAGGCAGGCGGGGAUUCACACUCUCAGUCAUUAAACCUCAUAGACUUCAUAGACUUCGUUGUCAAGGCACAGUACCAUGCAAGUCCUUGAAUAUCAAGCCGAUUAUUAAGAAGUGGAAGGUGUAACACACCACAAAGACCCUGCCUAGAUCAGGCAAUUCCUCCAAACCGGAUGACCGAGCAAGUAGGAGACUGAUCAGAGAGGCUAACAAGAGUCCAAUGGCACCCCUGAAAGAGCUGCAUGUGUGCAUGUGACGACAAUAUCCCAAGCAUAUAUGUUAGGGUGGCAAGCUGGAAGCCAUUACUCAAGAAAACCCACUUUGAAUCCCGUUUGAAGUAAGCAAAAAAAGACUUGGGCGAUUCUGUAGGCAUGUGACAAAAACGUUUGUGGUCUGACGAAACAAAAAUGCAAAGCGUUUACAAGCCCAGCGUGGCACAUCACUCAAAGAACACCAUACCUACUGUGAAGCAUGUUGGUGGCAGUAUCAUGUUAUGGGGAUAUUUUCUAGGGCACUUAUCAGGAUAGAAGGGGUAAUUCAUUGAGCAAUGUACAGAAAAGUCCUUGAGGAAAACCUGCUGCCAUCUGCAAGAAUUUGAAACUGGGACAGAAGUUCACCUUUAAGCAUGACAACGACCCGAAGCACACAGCCAAAGCUACGGUGGAGUGGCUAAGGAAUAAAAAGGUAAAUGUCCUUGAGUGGCCGAUCAGAGCCCCGACCUAAAUCCAAUAGAACAUUUGUGGCAUGACUUGAAGAUUGCUGUCCAUCAACGCUCCCAAGGAACUUGACAUAGCAUGAACAGUUUUGUAAAGAAGAAUGACCAAAUAUUGCCAAAGUUGGUAGAGACCUAGUUCAAUAGACUCACAGCUGUAAUUUGUGCCAAAGGUGCUUACACCAAGUAUUCACUCAGGUUGGUGGAGACUUAACCAAUUAUGAUAUUUCUGUUUUGUAUUUUAAAUAUUUUUUCACAACUCUGAGGCACUGACACAAUAAAAUGUGAAAAAGCUUCAACGGGUGUAGACUUUCUCUAGGCACUGUAUGUAUUUGCUUAUGAUCAAUACAGGAUUGUUUGUGAUCCUGUAGAAAUGUACAGUAUUGUGGUAUUAAUUAUACAGCAGUAAAUAAUAUUUUAUUCUACAUAUUCUACAUGUCAUGUUCUAUUUCCAUGAUAAACAGAAUGAAACAUGGACACUGGGAUUUAUUAAAUAAUCUUCCUGGCGUGUGUGUGUUUACGCUUAUUAAUAUCUUACCAAUGUAUUACAGGAUGAGUAUCAAAAAGCAAUGUUCUCAUCAGAAUUACACUCCUAAAUUGUGUUAAAAGCAAGUCAACUGCAAAAUUAGUAAUAUGGACACAAGAUAAAAUUCAUAGCUUUAAUAUAUACUUUGAUUCCUUAAUAAUUAUUUGUUGUACAGCUGCAUUUUCACAUUUGAGACAUACUCAAAUCAUCAGGUUGUUGAUUAAUAGUAUAUAGUAUCAGUCAAAAGUUUGGACACACCUACUCAUUCCAGGGUUUGUGUUUAUUUUUAUUACCAUUUUCUACAUUGUAGAAUAAUAGUGAAGACAUCAAAACUAUGAAAUAACACAUAUGGAAUCAUGUAGUAACCAAAAAAGUGUUCAACAAAUCACAAUAUAUUUUAUAUUUUUGAUUCUUCUUUGUAG